GGGUUGUAGCUCAGUGGUAGAGCACUUGCCUAAUAUGUGUGAGGCUCUGAGUUCAAUUCUCAGCCCCG
rnacentral:tRNA from 1 species